UCGUUACCGGCUGUCCAGCAAGUUGCAGUUGGUGGAAGUAAUUUCGGUCGGACGUCAUCAUUGUGUGUAUUUUAUCUCAAUAACUUGCAAGAUGUUAACGGAAAGAGAACUUACUGCCCAAAAAUUUGAUACGUAAAUACAUUUUUUCCAAAAAAAAAAAACGUUUGCGGAUGCCAGACAUGACAAUUUAUUGGCUGGAGACUGUUUAAACACUUUUACAAGUACCAUCUGGUCAUGAAGUGGUGAAGUAACUCUGCUCUAUCGCAGUAAAAUGCUUGCACAAAUGCCUGAUUUGAUGCGUUGGUGCAAACUCCACCACGAAAUUAUACUGGAUUGUGGUUGAUCACUCAUGGAACUUGAGUGAUGGGAGCUUAUCUGACACUGAAGCUGAGGACCGUGAUGUUGAAACUUCAUGAUGCAUGUGAAACUCAAGUCCCUGGGAUGCUCCUGUUGACUUCCUGACAGCCUGACAUCUCUGCUGGGAUGUGCCUACCUCUUUUACUGUGAGUAAGGGAGGGUCAAUCAGCUUGUGGUAAGUAACUGAGUAUUUUACUGUCAUUUGGUGUUCCAGGAUGUUGGACAGUGCUAACUGAGGUAGACAUCCUGCAAAGCAGCUGAUGUUGCACUACGAGCUGCUGAGGGGAGCCGGGACGAGACUGUUCGUUAAUUGUGGGGGAACUGAAUGGACUUUCUGUAGCUUGCACAACGCAGGAGUUUACUAAAGUGGAUUGCACAGGGAAUGGAGAUGCUAGGAAAUUCUACUACAGGGUGGUCCAUAGCUGUGGUGCCAAACUUUUAAAACAAAAAGCAGAUGGAUGUACAAAUGUUUAAGUCAAGUACCAGAUUGUUAUAAUUAAUAUGCAGCUACACACGAAGGUCCAGUGUCAACUGUAAUUAUCAUAUGGCAACGAAACUUGGUAGAUAUGUUAACGUGUUAAUGCAGACGUGAUUUACACUGGAAAAAAAAAAUUGGUUCCCGUUUUGGCAACCAAGUGCAAAUUUGGCAGUGUACACUGUUAGUAUGAUGGUUCGACAUCCACGUUGUCAUUUGACAAGCCAUAAUGUGAGUGAACCGUAUGGCUAUGGUGAAGAGGGACCGUGCUAUCUUGGUGAAAUUGUUUUAUGUAAAUGGUAGCAAUUACAGUGCUGCAGUGAUACAGUGUCGCUGACAGAAAAGUCUAUUGAGAGAAUUGAUGGCAUUUAAUGGUUUAAUAAGGAUGAUAAUGAAAUUCAAAAACAGCGGAGCUUGGUGUGUUGUGUGGAAAAGGAAAGCAUCCUUUCAUGGUGGAAGUUAUUGACAUGGUUGCUGUUGCUGCAACUGACCGUGCAGCAUGUACCCCGUGUACUGUUAGUGCUCCUGCAAUGUUACGAGAAUUGUCCAUCCCGUGGUCAACAAUACAGAAACUUUUGUGGGCCAUGUUACACUGGUACCUGUAAAAGAUCCAGACAGUGCAAUGACUGAAACAUCAUGAUGUGCAGCAAUGUUCUGAAUUUGCUCUUAGAUCUCUUGACCGGAUCGAAGUUGACAAUGUGAGGCUGGGCAAUGUUUUAUGGAGUCACAAGGCACAUUUUGCACGACAGGUUGCAGUGAAUACACAGAAUUGCUUAAUUUGGGGUGCAGUUAAGUUGCCUGUAGUGCAUGAAGGGUCAUUGCAAGUGCCCUAUGGACUGUGUUGUGUGGACUCGCACACCUUUGUUCUGUGUUUUUCUUAAAGGAAAAUACAUCCAAAGGGCCUUCCAGGUGUACAGUGAUGCCUGAACGUUACUGAGACCUAGUACAACUUGCAAUUCCCACUUUGGAAGAGCAAAAAUAUGCAGAAACCGUUGUUUUUGUGCAAGGUGUCACAAAACCUUAUGUUGCUUGCUCAGUGAAAAUAUUGGUUAAUGCAGCAUUUCAAGAGUGUGUUACCCCCAGAGGUUUCCCAGUUGCGUGGCCUGCAAGAUCGCCUUUCCUGAAUUUGUGUGACUUUUGGCUCUGGAGGUAUCUAUAAGAAACAUUGACUGGGAACAUGUUCAGUCUCUGCCUAAUUCAAAGGUCAGUGUACAGGAUGUGUUGCUCAUAUUCCAUCAGAACUGCUGCAAGGAACUGCUGACCAUCUCAUUUUAGAGAUUCAGCAACUUGUUAACAUCUCUAGUGCUCAUAUUGAACAAAUUUUGUAAUAAUAAAAUAGUAAAGCCAACAUUACGUCUUUCUAGCGUGUGUGACCUUUUGUCCCAUUCCAGAUCAAUUACAUAUGGAAACAUUUCGGUAUGUCUAUCUUACACUCAUGAUGCAAGAGUUGCAAAAAUUGGAAAUAAUGUGGAACCAAUUUACCCUGGAAAAAAUUAAUGCAUAAGCAUAUGUACGAAGUUUUGCUGCUAUAUGUAAUUACAGCCUGGACUGGAUCUCUGUGAGUAGCAUCACUUUAAUUAUAACUACCCCCAGUAAGAGUUAGGAUAGGGGAAAACCUGUGAGGCUGUGUUGUCAAAUGGAUUGCCAUUUUGAAUGCUGCCAUGUUGGAUGCAUCUGGUAAUUUUCAAAUGGAAAACAGAUCAUAUGGCAUAUCAGACUUUCAAGAGUACAUUAAUGGUGUCUUUUAUUUGGUUAUUUUGAAUGCUGCCAUAUUAGAUGCAUUCAUUCUUUUGUGAAGUCGUGUUAUGUGCAGAACAAGGCAAAUGCUGAUGGUAACAGUUGGUGAAAGCUUCAGAAUAUGCUCUUUGUGUUGUCCAGCACGCUUAAAGAUUGUUGGUGCCCCCAUUAUCCAGUGUCAUGGAACUUAACUACACAUGUACUGGAGUGUGAGCACAGGCCUCAACAAUCUGCUCCCUGAGAUGUGCAUUGUUUCUGAGCUUCACUGCAUAUACAGUUGCAUGCACAUACCACCACAGAUGGAAAUCUCACCAGACUUAAAUCUGGGGAAUGUUGUAGCUACUCCACUGGACCUCUCCAAUCUAUCCAUCUUCAGGGAAACUGGAUAUCAAAGUACGAAUGGAAAACCAGCCCAUAAAGAGGUAGGGCACAAUCGUGCAGAAAAAAGGUAGAAGCGCCUCUUCUUCAGAUGACACCACAUGCUUGUUUAACAACUUCAGACAAAGGGCUGCUGUUAGUGUAUCAUGCAUGAAGAAAAGUCCGACUAUACAUGAAUGAUACUUUAGUGAGGCGACUCGCUACAACUAUCAGACAGUAGAAAAAUUAAUUUCAGCCAUCAGCUGAACUAAUUAUUCAUUUUUCUCUACUGGUUUUGGUCACAACAGCCAUUAUCAUAGAAAGAAAAAGCAAAAGCGGAUACUGCUGUUCUGAGAGGGCGUGUCUUCAGCCUCUCCCAUUUGUCGUCACAGAUUGCAGCGACACAUCACUAAAGUGUAUGGUAUCAAUGUGCAUUGCUGUCUGUGAUGUGGUACCACAAUCUUUGGAUGAUAUCACACUUUCGAUGUACAAACUAUCUUUGAUGGUCUGUCCAGUGAAGGCUGACGUCUGAGCAAUAUCUUUGAUUCUGUUCAUUUACACACAUAAUGUGUCACCCAUUCUACAAACUGAACUCAGUAGCCUUGCUAAGGCAUUACCACAAAUGCGUUUUGUAAGAGUCAAAAUUAUCAUUAUUGAUAAACAACUGGCUCCAAUUUCAUAAAAGAUGCAGCAGAUACCCUGAUAUGAAUACUUAAUGAACAAUGCCAAAAGUCUCACAAUUAAUACAGGGUGUACAUAAAGUCUGGGAACACUCUCAAUUAUUUAUUGCACAAGAACUAAACAUUGUACAGAUGUCAUACAUAUUGCAUUUUGGAGAGAAACUCUGGAAGUCUUUUUUUACAAACAUUCAAUAUGUGAACCAUGAGUGACCUGGCAGAUGUCAGUAUGGUAAUCAAAUUCUUUCCAUACCCAUCCCAGCAUGGCAUCGUCAACUGUGGCAGUCACUUCCCAUACUCUCUCCCAGAGCUCUGUUACAUCACGUGGUAGAGGUGGUACAUACACCAGAUCUUUAAUGUGUCAUCCUGACAACACGAUGACACCUUCAAACACACCACACUCGCAAACCAAACUUCGUACUGUCAUGACGUUGCACACAACAGCCUUAUGUCAUGGGCCAAACCUGACACGUGGGAUCGGCUGCUUCGGUCAACCCGUGUCUAUUUUAUCUGUUAAAAUAUUGUGUGAACAGUUUGAACAGAUCAACUAGGAGCUUUUACUGAAUCUACAGAUACCAUAUCCCUAGUGUUAUACCACCACCCUUGUAAAUGUCAUUAGUCAUCAGACAAAGAAAUUCUGUGUCAGUGGGAAAGUUGUAACACAGUACAAAUCUCAUAUUUCUUUUUAAAUGUAAAUGUUUGGUUAUCAUUAUAGUGCUCAGUGUGUUUCUUACUUUGGUUUUCAUUCUGUUUGUAGCUGAAAACACACUUUUGUCACUAGUGGAAGCGUGGGAUAAGCACAACAGUGCAUCAUCGUGGCCAGUAACUUGCAGAACAUAGGUGUUCCAUCUCCCUAUUUCAGCUUACGGACAGCUUUCCAGAAUGCAGCCUGAUCUGUAACCAUUGUUCCUACCUCUGCAUUUCUCAGUAGCCUCCAUGCAGUGUCAAUUGUUUGGAUGUCAUUUUUAAUUAAAAUUGGAAACUUUGAUGCAAGGCUGCCAAUAGAUGUAAUCCAAAUUAGGUUCAGUGCCUCCAAAUAUUUUAUAACAUAGUCAAAUGUUUUCCUUUCAGUGACAAUCUGUUGAGCACUCUCAAUAGAAGUUUUAAGCGCGAAAGUUUAAAGUUCUCCAGUUGACCACAAGACAGAUCUGUAUUUUUAUCAAUGUCCAACAAAACCUUUGCUCCUAAAUCAAGCGAUUUAAGAUAAAUUGCCUGUGAACAUAUGAACGAAAUACUAAUAAUUUUCAUAAAGUGUACAUGGCUCUAAGUAAAAAAUGUGAACUCCUAGUAUGAUGAAAAUAAGACAAUACGAAUGUUUAAUUGUAUAUCUAUCUUUUCAGCAAUAAUCACAUUGGUUGUCAUAUUGACUGUAUGAAUCUUUGCAGAACAAACCGUAAUAUUUAUUUCUUUAUUUACUCAUCCUAGGAACAAUAUAUAUUGUAUGGAUGUCGUCAGUUUGAUACAUGAGCACACGUUUACAUUUACAAUGAAACAGAUUUCUAAUAUUUUGUAUAGUUUUUAUAACUAGUCAUACACACAUUUAUAUCAUCAUAUUUGGGCGAUAAUGUCAUAUGCUGCUAAUAAUCUACAUCUAUGUUAAAUAUUCUUUUACAGUAUAACAACUUUUACUUACUAAGAAGGUUUUAAGUUUUUGUAUGAAAGUGAGGGGCUAAUUUAUUUCUUUAAUUUCCUGUGGUAAUUUGUUAUACAGUUUUAUCCCAUUAUAAAAUAUACUUUUUUACGUCUUUGCCUUGUUCUUUCUAUCUAGAGUGAGGUGGUGACAAGAUCUUGUUUCAUAGUCAUGUAUUAGGCUGUUUGUGUUAUACAUGUUGAGAUUUUUCUUAAUGAACCUUAUGAUCUGAAAGAUAUACUCACAAGAAAUAGAAUGCCUAGCUUCCUACAUAAUUCUCUCUAAUGCUCUGUUUGCCAGUCAAUAUUUGGAAUCUAUGCACUGACUGACUACCGUACUUCAAUACUUGAAAUCUUAUGUACACAUUAACAACACCUGUCUAAAAAAAGUGGGCUAUAAUUGUAUCAUUUCAGUCACAAGUUUUUAUUCUAGAAAUAUUUAAAUCUGAUAAUCUUAAUUAAGGUUACUUUGCUAUGGCUAAUCAGAAUGUAUUUUUCUUCCUGUUGGUAGUAAGUUAGUGUCUGUAGUCUGUUUUAUGUCAAAUAAUAUCCUGAAACAUCCCAAAAAAUUUCAGACUUCUAGUUGAAAUAGAUUUUUUGCACAAAAUAAGACAGAAAAUUUAAUUCUCAAGGAAAUCAGCUCAGAGCUACAUUUGACUUAUGGCUCACCUAAAUACAUCCAGCUGCUAAUCUUUUUGGUGUACGUAUUCUUUAUCUUCUGUCUUCCUUGUCUAUACUGGCCUCUUUAGUUGCCCAAGGACCCACUUUUUAGCUUCGGCCACUCCUAUGGAAGCAAUUGACACCAGUGAGUGCCUCAUACUGAACUCGGAAUAUAUUCCUAGCAACAUCACAAAAUAUCUUCUUACAGGGCUACCAACUUGAGAAACUGUUGUAUAGUGCAUCUUCCUGGAAUUUUUAUUUUAUUUGGCAUAUGGCAUUUAAGUACACUUCAGUAUUGGAUCACGUUAU